rnacentral:rRNA from 1 species
CUUAAAAUCUCCAAGGUGGUCAAACAUUUGGCGAGUUGUAGCUUAUGGAGGUGGGUUGAUCUGUGGGUGUAGGACGGUAAAAGUGCUUUGAAUAAGCCAUCAGAGAGGGUGAAAAUCCCGUAUUUGACCGUGUUUACAUCUAUAAUGAGAACCAUUUUCUUUGAGUCGGGUUGUUUGGGAAUGCAGCCCUAAUUAGGAGGUAAAUUUCUUCUAAAGCUAAAUAUAAGCAAGAGACCGAUAGCAAACAAGUACCGUGAGGGAAAGAUGAAAAGCACUUUGAAAAGAGAGUGAAAAGUACGUGAAAUUGUUGAAAGGGAACCGGUUAGUAGCCAAGCAUCACAGUUGGAGCGGGUUAAACCGUUUUAGCAGUGGGGUCAACAUCGGUUGUUGGGGCCUGAAAGGAGAAUUUGGUUUGUUGGCGGGGUAAGGUAGGGUGAUUAGUGUUGGGUUAGUUUACUAGUCCAACUAUAUAGCUAAUUACUUGUUAUAGACCCCAUAAACAGACUUUCUACGCCUUGGGGCUUCGACGACCGAGGAACGCAGUGUAGUCAGUGUAAAAGCUGGCUGAGUGGAAUGUGGUUCGGGUAUUGUCUGGUUACAUAGGUUAGACAGCUUGCUGACUAGCUUGUUGAUCGGAUAUACUCUGGAGCUGCAUUCUGACUAAAAAGCACUAAGGAUGUUGGCGAAAAGGCACUAAUCGACCCGUCUUGAAACACGGACCAAGGAGUCCAACAUGCAUGCGAGUAUGUGGGAGUAAUAAACCCAUAUGCGCAAUGAAAGUAAACAUAGAAUGCGAUCUUGUGCCGCCUCGGCGACACUUGAGCAGCAUCGACCGGCUUCAGAUAGCGUUGCUUGACGAGGCUGAGUAAGAGCAUGUAUGCUGGGACCCGAAAGAUGGUGAACUAUGCCUGAAUAGGGUGAAGUCAGAGGAAACUCUGAUGGAAGCUCGUAGAGAUUCUGACGUGCAAAUCGAUCUCCAAAUUUGGGUAUAGGGGCGAAAGACUAAUCGAACCAUCUAGUAGCUGGUUCCUGCCGAAGUUUCCCUCAGGAUAGCAGAGACUGAAUAAAGCAGUUUUAUGAGGUAAAGCGAAUGAUUAGAGGCCUUGGGGAUGUAACAUCCUUAACCUAUUCUCAAACUUUAAAUGCGUAAGAAGCGGCAGUUUCUUAAAUGAACUGACGUGUAUAAUAAUACGAAUGCAACAGUCUCUAGUGGGCCAUUUUUGGUAAGCAGAACUGGCGAUGCGGGAUGAACCGAACGUAAAGUUAAGGUGCCCAAAUGCACGCUCAUAUAGACACCAUAAAAGGUGUUAGUUCAUCUAGACAGCAGGGCGGUGGCCAUGGAAGUCGGAAUCCGCUAAGGAGUGUGUAACAACUCACCUGCCGAAUGAACUAGCCCUGAAAAUGGAUGGCGCUUAAGCGUGCUACCGAUACUUUACCGCCAAAAUUAAAGUAAGAUUUUGGUGAGUAGGCAGGCGUGGGGGUUUUGAGUAGAGAAGCUGUGGGAGUGAUCUCCAGUGGAACGACC